AUUGCUAAUUGUGCGUCUCGUGGUAAAUCCGAGUAUGAUAUUGGUAAAGUUAUCCAUUGAUUCCAGCUUUUUUUGGACUGUGUCUGAAAUUUUGAAAUCGAUUUUAAACAUCAAGAGAAAACAAUGACAGAGACAUACAACAAAUUUCAGCGUACGGGAAAAUGUUUAUAUGCAGUAUGUACUGGUAAUGCAAGUGGACGACCGCCACCCCAAAU